GCGCCCGUGCCGCUCCUGCGCCUGCGCAGGGGGCUUAGGCGGCGAUCCCGGGCACCGGGCGCGGCGUGCGCGUUAGUGUCCACGGCGUACGAGGACCACCCACUUCCGGGAAAGCUGCCGAGCCUGACGCCCCGAGGUCGCGCGUGACCGCCGCGCACGUACACACGACGGUGGCUGACAGCCUGGCUGUGCCCGACGGAGAUGGGAGGUUGCCGCCGGCAAAGGCUUCCCUUUAUUCUCGUGUGAUGCAGGCAGCCCGUGACUCGUUUCAAGUUCAGCCACAGCCCCUUGUGCACCGAGCGCCGCGAGCUAGAUCCCAUGUCAGAGCCAUGCUGCAAUAUGGUAUCGUGCGUGGGAGAAACCCAAAUGGAGCAAUGGCUGGAGCAAGGAAUUUGAGGGCAACAGUGACAGUUAUGUCUGAGCGAUGAAACGCAGUGACAAGCCCUCCCAGUGCAUUUCAAAGGCACAGUGACAGUGCAGUGGCCUCCAUACCUCGAAGAGCACGUAGCCGAAGCCUCUGCCGACACCGGUCAGCGGGUCUCUCACGAUCCUCACGGCCACGAUGUUCCCACAGUCCAGAAAGUGGUCCUCCACCACAGUGUCUUCAAUUUCUGAAAACAAAUUCAGCCGAAGUGGAGCGAAGCCUGGGGAUCGCUUUAGGGGGCUGGAGAGGUGUCAUACCAGCCCCGUGAAAAUUAGUGAAGUUACAUUCCUGCCUUUUUAAAGUUACUCUUAACGCACAGACAGGUACUGCUCAGUGGUUAUUUCCGUUCAUUUAACAAUAAACAGGUACUUUGCUUAUACAAA